AAAGAAGCGCGCAGCCCGGGGCAGCAGCAAGUGCUCCUUUUUCGGUGCGCUGCUUUCCAACUCUGCUGCCCUUUGAGGCUUUUCCUAACAACCGCACCCAGAGGUCCCAGCACGGGUCUCAGCAUGCCAGGCCUGGGAGCCCCGCACCACCGCGAGAAUCGCCGUCCCCUACCUGGGUGGAAAAUCCGCAGCGAGCCGGUCAGCAGCCGAACACCGUAAGCACUGGCAAAGCCUCACAGGAGACAGCUAUAUCAGGAUCCCUUCAGCAAAAUCUUGCUGGCAUAUGCAAUAGUGUCUGCAUUUGGUGGCUGAUUAUGGGAUGGACCCCCAGAGACAAAAAGACUCGGGACCAUUUCUCAUUGGCAGUAGCAGCAAAACACUGGAAAUCACUUUAAUGUUCAACAUGAGGGGAGUUUUGAAGUCAAUAGUGGCGUAUAGCUGCAUGUGACGAGACACUUUAAAGUGUGAAAUCACUUUCUGGAAGAUGAUUUAAUGGAGAGGAGAAUGUAUAUGAGAAAACACAGCCUCCGACCUGAGUCUACAGAGUAACUCCAAUAUGCAGAUGAAGAUGAGAGUUUCAUGCUUCAAGGAACUGAUUUUAUACAAUUCCUCCAAAGUCUGGAGCAUAGGAUUUCAAUGUAGCCUCUCUACUGCCCUUCCAGGGGUCAGAUAGGCUUGCAAAUGUUUGAAGAGUAACACUGACCACACAAAGUCAUCCAGACAGACUAGCAGAGUCUCAGAGAACAGAUGGCCAAUGAGAGAAUUGGUCCAUGUGCCAAAGACCCGCUGGCUGAUCUCUGUGGGUGUUUCCACGGCAUGGGAGGAAGGGAACUAUUGGCUUUAUUCUGUGGCACUAGAAAUUCAAACACACACAGAAGGCCAGUGGUCUCUGGGUUCAUCCUGACCCAGUUCCAUCCUCGUAGCUGGCAGAUGAUGCUCACUGGAGUAAGGCCCAGGCAGCAGCUUUGCUCAGUCUUCCUUGCUAAGCCCUGUGAUUCUGCCCACAGUCACUAGCCUAUUCCUUUGUACAGGUUCUAUGUACACCCUAGCUGAAAUAUCUUUUUUUUUUUUUUUUGGAGGAUGGAGAGAUGAUUCACCGCUUAAGAUCACUUGUUGCUCUUGCAACCCACAAGAUGGCUCACAACCAUCUGUAACUCCAGGUGCAGAAGAUUUAAUGCCCUCUUCUGAUCUCCAUGUGCACUAGGCACAUACAAGAUACAUAGACAUACAUGCAGACAAAACACUCAUACAUAUAAAAUAAGUAAAUAUAAAAACAAUUUUAUUUCAAAGAAUUGUUAUUAUUAUUAUUAUAAAGGAUCUCAUUACUGUGUAGUCCUAAUUGGCCUGAAACUCUGUAUAUACACCAGGCUGGCUUCAAACUCAGAUCUACCUGCUCCUGCCUCCCAAGUGCCAGGAUGGGAUUAAAGCAUGCGCUACCAGGCCUGGCUUAUUUUUAUCCUUUGUCAUUUAUGUGCUAUGUUUGUGCCCUGUGUGGGUUUGUGCACAUUGAGUGAUGAUGCCCAUGGAAUCAAGAAGAGAGUAUUGAAUCCCCUAGUGAUGGAGUUAUAGGCAGUUAUAAGUCAUCUCAUGUGGGUGCUAGGGACUGAACUCAUAUCUUCUGAAUGCAAUAUGUAUUCUUUUUAAUUGUUUUGCUUUGGUUUUUGUUUUGUUUUGUUGAAACAGGGUCUCUCUUAUGUAGACCUGGCUGUCCUGGAACUUGAUAUAUAGAUCAGGCUGGGCUUGAACUCAGAGAUCCUCCUGCCUCUGCUUCUCAAGUGCUGGGAUUAUAGGUGUGCACCACCACACCUGGCAAUAUGUACUCUUAGCCACUAAUCCAAUUCUCCAGUCCCAUCUGGAGCUUCUUCAUCUUCUCUGGCAGGGGAACGCUUCCAUCCUUUUUUCUUCUUCAUCAUCUUGUUUAACGCACAUAAGCGUAUGCACUGGACACUUUGAGGUGAGGGUUUUCAAACUAUUCAUAUCCAAAGCUUGAGAACACAUCUCUGUUAGGUUUCAAAGAACAGUGUUGAGCAUUUGAAAAGCAAUAGAAUGGAAAUUUGGUAAGGAAUGACAUGGACUGAGGGCCAGGGAAUACAAUGGGAAAAGUACCAUAACAAUGGUAAUCAGACUUGCCUCCUGCCACAUAAAUAUUUGUGCAUGGUAAAUAUCAGAAAGAGAGACACUCCAUUAACAAUCAUUACAACUUUUAUUUCAGUAUGGAGGGAUGGAAGAUUCUUUAGACAUACUUUUUCAAGUUUUCUGCAAUAAGCAUAUUCUGCCAUAGAGAUGCAGUCUACAUCAGUAUCUGUUUCCAAUGACAGUGUGUAACAUGAAAAUAAAAUCACAUAU
ensembl:processed_transcript 1500012K07Rik RIKEN cDNA 1500012K07 gene